GACGAACCGUGCGAACGUUAUUCGGAAUCAUUGGGCUUAAAGGGCGCGUAGGCGGCGGCGUAAGUUGGAAGUGAAAUCCCAUCGGCUCAACCGUGGAAUCGCUCCCAAGUACUGCGCUGCUCGAGGGGGAUAGGGGUCUGCGGAACUACCGGUGGAGCGGUGAAAUGUGUUGAUAUCGGUGGGAACGCCAGUGGCGAAAGCGGACAGACUGGACCCUUCCUGACGCUGAGUGCGCGAAAAGCUAGGGGAGCAAACGGGG
rnacentral:rRNA from 1 species